rnacentral:rRNA from 2 species
UUGGAGGGCAAGUCUGGUGCCAGCAGCCGCGGUAAUUCCAGCCCCAAUAGCGUAUAUUAAAGUUGUUGCAGUUAAAAAGCUCGUAGUUGAAUUUCGGGGUCAGUAGAUUGGUCAUGCCACUGGUAUGUACUGGUCUCACUGAUUCCUCCUUCCUGAUGAGCCGUAAUGCCAUUAAUUUGGUGUUGCGAGGAAUCUGGACUGUUACUUUGAAAAAAUUAGAGUGUUUAAAGCAGGCUAACGCUUGAAUACAUUAGCAUGGAAUAAUGAAAUAGGACGUUCGAUCUUAUUUUGUUGGUUUCUAAGAUUGACGUAAUGAUUAAUAGGGAUAGUUGGGGGCAUUAGUAUUCAAUUGUCAGAGGUGAAAUUCUUGGAUUUAUUGAAGACUAACUACUGCGAAAGCAUUUGCCAAGGAUGUUUUCAUUAAUCAAGAACGAAAGUUAGGGGAUCGAAGACGAUCAGAUACCGUCGUAGUCUUAACCAUAAACUAUGCCGACUAGGGAUCGGAUGAUGUUAAUUUUUUAAUGACUCAUUCGGCGCCUUACGGGAAAC